UUUCAAACCCUCCACUGACAGAAUGAGAGCCUGGCUUCAAAUACAUUUUACACACCACUUUAUUUCACUUUUUCCUAAUUACCAUUAGACUGGGAAUAUUUUGACAGGACAUUUCUUUUGGAGAUUAUUUUCCCUUAAGCUGAAAUUCCUGGGUUCCAACACAGGCCUGGAAAGUCUGGGAAAAGAAAUUGUCUUUAGACGCUGCUGCUGCUGGAGAAACUGCCAUCUCUGGGUCCUCUACAG